rnacentral:lncRNA from 7 species
AGUUAGUCUGCCUGGGCUACUGCUAUCUGCAAUGCUCUUCAUAGAAGUAAGCAUUCUGCCUGAGACUGAGCCAUGAGUGCAGUAAUUUUGGGCAAAUGUUGCAAAACUCAGAAGCAGCCUGAUGAUCUCCAAGCUGAAGGUGUGGUGGACCACUAUACUGCCUUGGCUGAUGUUCCUGUUAUUCUGAGUCCUUUUGUGGCUUUUGAAAAUCCAGAAUAAAGUUAAGUAAGCAAGAGACUUGACAGCCCACAUCAGAGCUGCCAACUCCAGCAAUGAGCCAGAUUUAGAAGCUGUUAUAUGAAGAAUCUACAGGACAUGAGAUUUAAAUGGUUUCUCUGAAUAAGUACCUUCUAAACUAGGGUCCUUGAGGGCAUGGAGAGACCCUCGAUGACAGGGUGGGAUUGUUUUUUCUUCACUUCACCGUUGCAGGCAGACAGCUGGGAGGACCAAGGAAGAGCUCUUGUUCUUUUGCCUGCUUGGAGGAGAAAGUCAUUAAGUGGAUUAUCUCACCGGAUAAAGGUUCACAAGUUUCAAGGCCACUAUUAAAAAUAAAAAAUAAUAAUAAUAAAAAAAGCCAGAAGCGUAAGUAACAGAGGCACAUUUGGAGAGCAGCAGUGAGAUGAUCAAUCAUUGAUGACAAAUCCAAAUUUUGAUGUUAAGAUGUGCAAAAGCACAUUGUAGACAUCUGUUCUGUGUGCAAAAUGAACAGCAGACACUUAGUUUCUCAGCUCUUUUCAAAUGAGUAAUCUGCUGGAAAUUGAGCAGAAUUACAUGGAAUAUAGUCAUUUUAGUAUACAUAAUCUAGAAAAGAAUAGAUCUCUAAACAGAUGAAUUCAUAAAUUAUGUAUUUUUGACAUUUAAAUACAUCACAGGGACCCUAUAAAUCAAGCACUCUCUGCAGUUACCAUGCAUGCAAAACGCUUUCAGACCUUGCUGAUAUCAGUAGGCCAGCAUCUCUUGUUCCACAGCAUUGAAAACUGCAUUGCAAAACUUCCACCUGCUGCACUUCCUUUAGCAUCAUUUAACUUCCAGCAGUGUUUCAAGCUUGUGCCCCUCUACCCAACCUGCUGCUAUGCUGUUAAACCAUUUCACUGUUGAAUUUUAUUUUUCUAAACCAACUUUUCUUGUUAGGUGUCCUUUUUUUAGAUGUUUAAUCUCAAUGUGCAUGCUCAGAGUACUUAGAACCAUUCUCUCUCUAUGUAUAUAUAUACUAUUUCUAUAAGUAUAUGUGUAUGUUUAUACUAAAAACUAUUUUGCAAAUGUUGUAAAUAUAAAUGUACGUAUCGAUGGAGAGAUAAGAAACAUUUAUAUAGAUGCUGCUGG